rnacentral:rRNA from 1 species
UACGUAGGUGGCAAGCGUUAUCCGGAAUUAUUGGGCGUAAAGCGCACGCAGGUGGCGACUUAAGGCUGACGUGAAAGCGCCUGGCUUAACUGGGCGAGGUCGUUGGCAACUGGGUCGCUUGAGGCGAGGAGAGGGGCGUAGAAUUCCCGGUGUAGUGGUGGAAUGCGUAGAUAUCGGGGGGAAUACCAGAGGCGCAAGCGGCGCCCUGGCCUGUGCCUGACACUCAUGUGCGAAAGCGUGGGGAGCGAACGGG